UACGUAGGGUGCGAGCGUUGUCCGGAAUUAUUGGGCGUAAAGAGCUCGUAGGCGGCUUGUCACGUCGGUUGUGAAAGCCCGGGGCUUAACCCCGGGUCUGCAGUCGAUACGGGCAGGCUAGAGUUCGGUAGGGGAGAUCGGAAUUCCUGGUGUAGCGGUGAAAUGCGCAGAUAUCGAGAGGAACACCAGUGGCGAAGGCGAGUCUCUGGACGACACCUGACACUGAGGCACGAAAGCUAGGGGAGCAAACAGG
rnacentral:rRNA from 1 species